AUUGAACGCUGGCGGCAGGCCUAACACAUGCAAGUCGAGCGAGCGGCGGACGGGUGAGUAAUGUCUGGGAAACUGCCUGAUGGAGGGGGAUAACUACUGGAAACGGUAGCUAAUACCGCAUACCAUCAGAUGUGCCCAGAUGGGAUUAGCUCGUAGGUGGGGUAACGGCUCACCUAGGCGACGAUCCCUAGCUGGUCUGAGAGGAUGACCAGCCAACACGGAACUGAGACACGGUCCAGACUCCUACGGGAGGCAGCAGUGGGGAAUAUUGCACAAUGGGCGCAAGCCGGAUACGGACAUGCCGGGUGUGUGAAGAAGGCCUUCGGGUUGGAAGGCACUUUCAGCGGGGAGGCGUUACCCGCAGAAGAAGCACCGGCUAACUCCGUGCCAGCAGCCGCGGUAAUUC
rnacentral:rRNA from 1 species